UUUUUUUUUUUUUUUUUGACAGUCUUCUUCUGUCACCCAAGCUGGAGUGCAGUGGUGAUCUCAGCUCACUGCAACCUCCAUCUCCCGAGUUCAAGCAAUUCUCGCGCCUCAGCCUCCCGAGCAGCUGGGACCACAGGCCCGCACCACCACGCCCGGCUAAUUUUUUGUAUUUUUAAUAGAGACGGGGUUUCACCAUGUUGGCCAGGCUGGUCUCAAACUCCUGACCUCAAGUGAUCCACCCAACUCGGCCUCCCAAAGUCCUGGGAUUACAGGCGUGAGCCACUGCGCCCGGCCUAUGAAUGGCUUUUGAACAGGAAGAUGAAGGGACCACAGGUGACUACAUCAUCCUAGUAGCAGCAUACAGAAUUUACAGAACUGUCCCAAUUUAUUUAUGGGAAAGGUGAGAGAGGAGGCAGGGGACGAACUAAGAGGUUAUUGUAAGACACUUGGUGCCAGGAGAGUAGUUCCCACAGUGAAAGUUAAAGAAGGAACAGCUAUGCUAGGUGUGGUGGUGUGUGCCUGAGGUCACUGCUUGGAGGUUGCAGUGUGCUCAGAUCGCACCACUGCACUCCAACCUGGGGGACAGAGUGAGACCCUGUCUCAAAUAAACAAAACAAAACAGAAAACCCACCAUCACCACCACAAAAUAAAAACAAUAUUAUGAAUUAGCUAUCAGUAUCCCCAUUUUCAAGAUGAGAAACUGAGGAUGAGGCAUGUGGUGUAUGGAGCAUGCUUAAAGUUGCACAGUAAGUGGUGGAGUCAAAACUCAAAUACUGGCCAGGUGUGGUAACUCACGCCUGUAAUCCUAACACUUUGGGAGGCCAAGGCAGGCAGAUCACCUGAGGCCAGGAGUUUGAGACCAGCCUGGUCAACAUGAUGAAAUCCUGUCUCUACUGAAAAUACAAAAUAAAUUAGCUGGGCGUGGUGGUGCACACCUGCAAACUCAGCUACUUGGGAGACUGAGGCAGGAGAAUCACCUGAACCCGGGAGGCAGAGGUUGUAGUGAGCUGAGAUCGCACCACUGCACUCCAACCUGGCUGACAGAGCAAGAUUCCCUCUGAAAAACAAACAAACAAACAAACAAAAACAACAAACACAAAAAACCUCAAAUCCUAGUUGGUCUAACUCCCAAGUUGAUGCUUUGAAGUACUGUACUAAUGGUUUUUAGUUUGUCCCUGGAAAAGUUUGGUUUUCCUGUUUAAAUAUACAUUUCUCUUGUUUUCUCUUUUUCUACUUUCAAAUUUUUACAUAUCAGAUAAAAUUCUCUGUGGCUCAGUAAAGUGCUAGGUACUAAUGAGAGUAGUCCAAAAUGUGUAAGUUCCCAUUUGUUGAUAAGAUACUCCACUUGAAAUCUUGUUAGUUACAGAGGCACUGAUAGAUGUUUAUGUCUGAUUUCUAUAAUACCAUAAUAUCUCUAGGAAAUAUAAUAUCAUAUUUCUAAAGAAAAAGUUUUCCCUUAGUAAAAAAGAGCAAAACAAAACAAACAAAAACCCCAAAACAAUUUAUCAGAAAGGCUUUGUUUUUUCUUAAGCGACACAACACUGACCUCUU
ensembl:lncRNA